AUUGAACGCUGGCGGAAUGCUUUACACAUGCAAGUCGAACGGCAGCACGGACUUCGGUCUGGUGGCGAGUGGGGAACGGGUGAGUAAUGUAUCGGAACGUGCCCAGUCGUGGGGGAUAACGUAGUGAAAAUUACGCUAAUACCGCAUACGAUCUAUGGAUGAAAGCGGGGGAUCGCAAGACCUCGCGCGAUUGGAGCGGCCGAUAUCAGAUUAGGUAGUUGGGGGGGUAAAGGCCCACCAAGCCAACGAUCUGUAGCUGGUCUGAGAGGACGACCAGCCACGCUGGAACUGAGACACGGUACAGACUCCUGCGGGAGGCAGCAGUGGGGAAUUUUGGACAAUGGGCGAAAGCCUGAUCCAGCCAUUCCGCGUGCAGGAUGAAGGCCCUCGGGUUGUAAACUGCUUUUGUACAGAACGAAAAGGUUUCUACUAAUACUAGGAGCUCAUGACGGUACUGUAAGAAUAAGCACCGGCUAACUACGUGCCAGCCGCCGCAGUAA
rnacentral:rRNA from 1 species